rnacentral:sRNA from 2 species
UCUGACGAGGAUGAGAACCUCCGGGGGCAAGAGGUUCGACCCGAGCGAAGCGAGAGAACGUUGCGUCAGCAACGGCCCGCAGGGCGAGCCACGCAGUGGCGAGUCAUCCUCUAUCACCGACCA